AAACUCACUUGGCCAGAGACGGUCAACAGCAAACAUGCUGAGCUGCUUCUCCACUUUGAGAGGCCGCAGCCUCAGGGCCUCAGGCAGAGAAAGUAUCUGUGAAAGAUUAAGAAGAUGGCUGACUCCAUCCAGACACUGCAGGCCAUGCUGCAGCAGCCACAUGAUUGCCACAGUCACCCCAGUGAAGGUCUCCCCGAGAGUGACCACCAGUGACCUACCAAAAUCAAGGGUCCAAACUGAAGCAAAUGCCAUUGAAAGGGGAUUCUGCUGAGCUUUUGGAAGAUUGACAUGUGCAUGGUGGGUGAUGACUCAGCUCUCCACCACAUAGCUCCACCCCAACUACCUUCGCAUGUGCAGUAUACAGUGACACCUGGCCAUCACAAAGUGCUCAUAUAUCACCAGUGUGUUCUGUUCUUGCCCCUGUUCUUUUCACAUCAGCCCUCAACGAGAAAAGAUGUUCUCCUCGGUGCCAAUGGGAGUGCCAAUGGGAAUACACAAAUCUAGACACUAAUAUCGAGUGUCAACAUUCAAUUAUAAGGGGAUCAUCUAAAGAGCCCUGACUUUCAAAAAUGCCUAUUUUGGGCUGGAGGGGUAGCUCAGUGGUCGAGCACUUGGACUUGCCAAGCAUGAACAAGGUCCUGAGUUCGAUCCCCAGCACUGCCAAAAUAAUGAUUUCUGAAAGAACAAAUAAAUGGGGGGAAGCUAAAAAAAUGCUUAUUUCUUCUUAGAUUAAUAUGAAAAUGUAAGAUUUAAAAGCUCUUGUAGGCAAUUAUCAAACAGGCAGAAAGUUUUAGUAUGCUUUGCAGGACUUCAAGGAAGGAGAUUUGUUCCAGGCUAGUUCUAAACAAAAGUUUAGCUGAAAUGGAGUAGAGUUGUGUUACAGCUCGCAUGAGAGUCUGAACUAUUAGGAUGCAGGCAUUACUGGUUCUCAAGUGCGGGAGGGGCAGGAUGAAAGCUCUAUGCAAAAUUCAUCUCUCAGUGGUACAAAUACAAUGAGUUAAGCAAAAGUGAGGCUGGACCCAAGGAGAUUGGCAAAUGGUUUCUUCUACUGUACUAAACUUAGCACUUAAAAAAAUCAGAGUUGGAAAAUCACACUGUGCUCCAAAGUACGUGCAAUUAUUAUA
rnacentral:lncRNA from 1 species